GACGAACGCUGGCGGCGUGCCUAAUACAUGCAAGUCGAGCGAAGUUUUUCUGGUGCUUGCACUAGCAAAACUUAGCGGCGAACGGGUGAGUAACACGUAGAGAACCUGCCUCAUAGACUGGGACAACUAUUGGAAACGAUAGCUAAUACCGGAUAACAGCAUUUCUCGCAUGAGAGCUAUUUAACAGUUGGUUAUGCUAACACUAUGACAUGGCUUUGCGGUGCAUUAGCUAGUUGGUGGGGUAAAGGCCCCCCAAGGCGACGAUGCAUAGCCGACCUGAGAGGGGGAUCGGCGACACUGGGAGUGAGACGCGGCCCAGAGUCCGACGGGAGGCAGCAGUAGGGAAUGGUCCGCAAUGGGGGGAAGCCUGACGGAGCAACGGCGCGUGGGUGAAGAAGGAGUUCGGGUCGUAAAGCGCUGUUGUGGGGGAAGAAUGGAUAUGUAGUAGCUGUACAUGUGAGAGACGGUACCUAACCAGAAAGCCACGGCUAACUACGUG
rnacentral:rRNA from 1 species